CCUGCAGGCAGAGCCCAGCCAGGCUGCAGCAGCAGGUGGAGCUUAGGGGUGAGUGUGGCACACGAGCACAUGGAGCUGCUGGGGGACAGUGCAGACUCUGAGUGCUGCAGCCCCACUCCAGGAGUGCUGGCUGCCUUUUGGAAGGGAUUUACUCUUGGCUGCCACCCUCAGGGCAGCGAUGGAGCGCAAGCACGGAUUGACCUCUGCAGCUCUUUGGACGUGUCUGAAUCACAUGCAGCAGUCGGCACACUGAGGCAUCCCUAGGGGUGGGAAGGAGCUGGAAUUACCAAGGAAUUACCAAAGCCAAUUUCUUCCUCCAUUACCGCAUUUGUUUUCUAUUGGAUUGGCACAGCCGUUGGCACAAAGCUUCUCAUUCCUUUUGGGUAGGAUCUCAACGAGGAUUGGAAUUUGUUCUUGCAAAAACUGGUACGUGUGAGUCACACUGCAGCCAAGGGGAGCAGAUGUGAGAUGGCUGCAGUCGGCCCUGCAGCAUCCCCUGUUGUCUGUUGUGUGAGCAUCACCCGGGCAGAUCCAAAUGCCAAACGGGGCUGACAGUGCUGCUGCUUCUAUGGGCAGCCCCUGCUUCCAGGGCUGUAAAGUCAGAAGCCAGAUUUGGUCUUUAGAAUUUGAGGAGCUGGGUGAAACUAUUUUCUUACAUUUGUUUCAAUUUCAGCAGCCAGGAUCGCACAGGGAACAAACCCACAUCCUCUCCUGCAUCCCCUCUUUGCUCCAACACUCGCUGUCAGAUAAAGAGAUCGGUGGGUUCUACCCGUGCAGGGAGACACGUGGAGCAGCCCUGGUUAUUUCGGAGCGGUGACACCGCAAUGCAGGCAGGCAGAGCAGAGGAGCUGCACACAAACCGCCGCGUCGGCAGCGCUCCGUGGGUCGGGGCAAAGGUUUCCUUCUGCAGCGAUGUGGUAGGAAGGGUAUCUGAUACCUGAUAGGCGUUUGUAGGAAAAGCCGUGCGUGCGCGCACGGCAUUGGGGUGGAAGGUGGGAGAGGGGGGAGCUCUUUUGGGGGGCGUUUUGAUGUCAAACUCAUCCAGGUAACGAAUUCCUUUGCAAUGGUUCCUCUUCCGGCGCUGAGCCCCCGCUGCGGGAAGGGUUGGCUGAAGGUGGGGAAGGGGAUGAUGAUAAGCUGCUCAAAAAGCACGACGGACACCGCGGCGUCCCCGGCCACGGGAGAACCCCGCAGGGACCGCCGCCCCGAACCGCGCAUCCGGCUCAGGGCUGUAAUUAAUUAACGCUGGUCUUUAAUUAACGCCGGCCCCGCAAUCGGGCGCGGAGUCAUCGCGGCCCCCGCGGGGUGAAACGGCCGCGGUAUCCACGCGUGUGCGGGGCGCACCGCCCCGAUCCCCGCCCGGCCCCACGAGCAGGCGCAACGCGGAACGGAGGCAGCGCCGGGGGCGGGGAGGGGAAGCGCCGCCCCGAGCGGGCGGAGAACGGAGCGAAGCGAGGAGCCGGGCUGGGAGCGGGGCCGGGAAGCAGCGCCGUGCCGCCGGUCGGGCCGGGGAGCCGCGCGGUGCGGGAGCGACGGACGCACCCGACGUGCGCGAACGGCCGACGUCGGUGUGUCCGUCCGUGGGAGAGGAGGGAAGCGCGGACGCGGUGGGGAAGCGGAGUGAGGCCUCCCGUUGCGGAGCGUGUGCGGGUGGGUGUAGAGAUCCGCGGCUCCGUCCAUCCGUCUGUCUUUUCCUUUUGUCCAGGAGCGUCAUGUCUGCUCAGGAGCAAAAUCCGACGGUGCCCUCGCGGACCGCUGCCGAUGCUGCGGAUUUGGACGCGGGGAAUGGAUACGAAGCGGUCGCUCCGCAUUGGUUUUACUGCAAGGUGACCGGCGGGAGGGAACGGUGGCUUCCGUUCAGCAUUCAGGACUCGGAGCGGCUGGAAGAGGCUCACGGUGCAGGGAAGGAUAAAGGAGAUGUGGUUGUCCCGACGUCGGGCGGGAGGUACGACGUGCACCUGAAGCAGAGGCAGCGCCUGGCAGUGUUUUGGGAGGAGGAGGUGUCUGAGGUUCGUCGCUGCACCUGGUUCUACAAAGGAGACAAGGACAAUAAAUACGUCCCCUACUCAGAGAGUUUCAGCCAGGAAUUGGAGGAAGCGUACAUGAUUGCUGUAACCCUGGAUGAAUGGAAGAAGAAGUUGGAAUCCCCAAGCAGGGAAGUCAUCAUUUUGCACAACCCCAAGCUGAUGGUGCACUACCACCCUGUUGCCACCUCGGAUGACUGGGGCUCAACUCCUACAGAACAAGGACGACCUCGGACUGUGAAGAGAGGAGUAGAGAACAUUGCUGCUGAAAUCCCCAACGGAGAACCUCUGCAGAUCGACCACCUGGUUUUUGUGGUGCAUGGCAUCGGCCCGGCGUGUGACAUCCGCUUCAGGAGCAUCGUGCAGUGCGUCAACGACUUCAGGAGCGUUUCCCUAAGCAUGCUGCAAGCACAUUUUAGGAAGGCACAGGAGCAGCAGCAGAUUGGCCGGGUGGAAUUCCUGCCUGUUAAUUGGCACAGCUCCCUGCACUCCACUGGAGUGGACGUGGACCUGGAGCGAAUCACUUUGCCGAGCAUCAGCCGCCUGCGUCACUUCAUCAACGACACCAUCCUGGAUGCUUUCUUCUACAACAGCUCCACCUAUUGCCAGACCAUCCUGGACACGGUGGCCUCAGAAAUGAAUCGCCUCUACCUUCUCUUCCUGCAGAGGAACCCAGACUUUAAAGGGGGAGUUUCCAUUGCAGGUCACAGCUUGGGGUCCCUCAUUUUGUUUGAUCUCCUGACAAACCAGAAGGCUGCUCCUGAGGAUGAGCACAGCAGGGAGGGAUCCGAGGUGACUUCAAGCAGCAGGGGGGCUGAGGAAGUAAAAGAAAUCCUGAAGAAGUUGGAUCUGUCUGAGUACUGUCCUGCUUUUGAGAAGGAGAAAAUAGAUGGGGAAGCACUGUUCUUGUGUGGAGAGAAAAACCUUGAAGAAAUGGGAAUUCCCUUAGGACCACGAAUGAAGCUCCUCCAUUAUAUCAGCUCCAGGAGGGAGAUGCAGGACACCAAAGAACACAGCACUGCCAGGCUGCACAGCACCACUGCCAGCAGGGAUGGCCCAUACCCAGACAUCAGCCUGGGCCAGGUCUCUGCCAACUACCCUCAGCUGCUCUACAAGCCCACCAUCUUCUUUGCUUUUGGGUCUCCCAUUGGGAUGUUCCUCACGGUGCGAGGAGUGAAGCGGAUCAACCCAGAUUACAGCCUGCCUACCUGCAAGGGCUUCUUCAACAUCUUUCAUCCUUUCGACCCAGUGGCAUACAGGAUUGAGCCCAUGAUUGUCCCAGAUCUGGAAUUUGAGCCCAUGCUGCUCCCACACCACAAAGGCAGGAAGAGGAUGCACCUCGAGCUGAAAGAGGGGCUGACACGUAUGAGUGUGGAUCUGAAGAACAACCUGCUGGGGUCCCUGCGGGUGGCCUGGCAGUCCUUCACCCGCGCCCCACUGGCAGCUGUGGAGGGAACAAGCAGUGAAGGGGAGGCAGAGACAGAGGAGAGCACAGAGAAGCAGCCAGAUCCAAAGCCAGAGGAGGCACCGGUGCCAGCAAAGGAGGAUCCCUCCCUCAUUAACGUGGGGAAGCUGAACAGGGGGAAUCGCAUCGACUACGUGCUCCAGGAAAAACCCAUUGAGAGCUUUAAUGAAUAUUUAUUUGCACUGCAAGGGCAUCUCUGCUAUUGGGAGUCAGAGGACACUGUUCUGCUGGUUCUGAAGGAGAUCUACCAGACAAUAGGUGUUACGUUGGACCAACCUUUGCCAGGAAGCCAAUGACCACGCCGUGCUGUUCAACCACUUCUUAUACAAUUCAAUUGAGUACUCACCAGGAAAGUUCAGAUUUCUUCUCUGCCUUCCUCUCUCCUCUGCUGCUGUGCCCCGCAUGCUGCUUCCCCAGUACUUGCUGCUGCCUGGAGAUAAAGAUGGUUUUCCUCCAUUUUGGCCUCCAACCUCCUCCCAGCCCAAAGGAACUGAAGCUGUUCAUUUACUUGACUGCAGAAGCAGAUAUUCUGCUCCUUCAGAGUCUGAGUUACCGAUUGCUAAACGCCUCCUAUGGGAGUAAGAAAAGGAACAGUCUUAACAUGGGACACUCGUGACCAGCUUUUUAAGUUAUGCACUUUGUUAAGAAAAAAAAGAUUAAAUACGUUUUAAAUGUUAUUUAAUGUCUUUUCCAGUAAAAGCCAAAACAA